AUGUUCAUUUUAUAUAGUGUACGGGUUAGCUUAUAAACAUUCUAUAUACUGUAUAUGUAACUAUUUGAUUAAUUCCUGAAAAUAAAAGACUUUAGUUUAUUUUUGUUAAUUUCUUAUUUUUAAAAUUGCAUCCAUCAUUAAAAAAAUAUAAAAGCACAGUCAAACUAUAAGUCAUAUUUUGUGAAGCAAUAAUGAGCAAUCUUUUCAUCUGACCAUGUUGUUCUUCAUCUUAUCCCCUUAUGUUUAACAUCAUCUUUCUGGUCCCUUUAGGAUGCAAACCAACGUUGUCAAAGUGAAGUUUAGAGAAAUGAAGAAAUAUGUGUUUUCUUCAGAUCCUUUCACAUUUGAGACAUUUUUGGAAUGUGUUUCCAAGAAAUUUGAUCUUCCAACAAUGGACAUUAAAGUCUUUGAUGACACAAAGACAGAAGUUGACGAGGAAGCAUUUGAGCAUCUGCUGACAUGACCAGACAUUGGAGUCCUAGAAAUUGUCAUCCCAGCAAGUCUGGAUGAUACUUUAAGCUCAAGCUCACUAGGAGAAACUGAGUGCACAUCAGAGUCUGAUGACACAGCAAUGCUAAGCCCUCCACAAAAAAAACAAGCUAAAGACCGUCAUCUUGGCCAAGUAGGAGUUACACAUUUUGCCUCUGAUUUAAAUGUAUUUAUAUGAUGAUUAACAAGUGAAGAUAUUAAGCUAAAAUAUAUACUUCUCAGUUGUUAAUUUCUUGUAUUUGCUCAAAAUCACAUUCGCCCUCAAGAUGAUUUCAGGAUAUUCUUAGGAACAGCCCUGGAGUAGAGAAAGUCAUCAAUGAAUACUCUCGUACCAGAAGUCUGUCAGAUUCACGAAGAUGUGACAUGGUCAAAAUAUUAGUUGCGCAUUUGACAAAUGAACAUGGGUAAGUUUUUUAUAAGGUAAUUUAUAAAUAGAUGUUUAUGGUGUUUGUGUUAUAAUUGGUUUGUUUAUGUUUGUGUGUAGAACAAGACCUUCUCAACGUUUGAAGGAAGAAUAUGCAAAGGGAAUCAUCUCCCUAUUCCCACUUUUAGCUGACCCCAUGAGUAAGCGUGGUUAUGAGCAUUAUUACAAUGCUGAAGAUGGAAGUGGAUACCUGGCUUGGAGAAUCAAAACAUUGCAGAAAUACACAUCUGGUGGGAGGUUGAAAAAGCCUCAAGAACCACAAACAGGUGGGCCAACAGCUGACAGAGAUCCCUUAAGCCUUAAAUCAGGGAUGUCCUAACUCGGUUCUGAAGGGCCGGUGUCCUGGAGAGUUCAGAUUUAACCCUAAUCAUACACAACUGAACCAGCUAAUCAAGCUCUUACUAGAUAUACUAGAAACUUCCUGGCAGAUGCGGUGAAGCAAGUUGGAGUUAAAUUCAGGAGAACACUGGCCCACCAGGCCUGAGUUUGGACACCCCUGCCUUAAAUUAUUUAGGAGAAUGUUACACAUUUAUAAGUCAUCAUCAUAGUAUUUCAUUGAUAGUUACGACCCUUUGUGCAUGGAUAACUCAUAUGCAACAUAGACUUGCAAUAGUUAAACGAUCACAAUUAAAAUCACCGGUUUUUGUAAUAUUUCUUUCCAAAACUUUUUUCAAGAGCCUAGUACAGAGCUUACAGAUUUAAAGUUCAUUUUUGUUUUUUUGUUUUCAUUUGAGACCAUGAAAUACAAAAUCCUGACUGUAAAUCAGGAAUGCCUGAGCUUCAUGGCUGGUGUCUUGUAGCGUUUAGCUCCAAUCCUAAGUAGACACACCAGAAUCAGCUAAUCAAGGUCUUACUUGUCAUACUAGAAGCUUCUAGGUAGGUGUGUUAAGGCUACUCCUGGACGAAGUUUGAGCACCCCUGUUGCAGAUAAAGAUCAAUUAUGUCACCUCAUUUCAAUAUCUUUACAUUUUUUUCCCUUAAUUUAUCAACAUAUCUGUACUCACGACAUAAUCAUGAAUCUGCUGUUAAUACUGAGGGU